rnacentral:ncRNA from 1 species
GGGAUGUUGUUAUGCACUGGAUUUAUAUAGAGGUUUGGUGAUGAGCCAAACCUUUU